GACGGAGGGUGCUAGCGUUGUUCGGAAUUAUUGGGCGUAAAGAGCUUGUAGGCGGUCUGUCGCGUCUGCUGUGAAAAUCCGGGGCUCAACCCCGGACUUGCAGUGGGUACGGGCAGACUAGAGUGUGGUAGGGGAGACUGGAAUUCCUGGUGUAGCGGUGAAAUGCGCAGAUAUCAGGAGGAACACCGAUGGCGAAGGCAGGUCUCUGGGCCACUACUGACGCUGAGAAGCGAAAGCAUGGGGAGCGAACAGG
rnacentral:rRNA from 1 species